GACGAACGCUGGCGGCGUGCUUAACACAUGCAAGUCGAGCGGUAAGGCCCUUCGGGGUACGACGAGCGGCGAACGGGUGAGUAACACGUGGGUGACCUGCCUCUAGCUCUGGGAUAAGCCUGGGAAACUGGGUCUAAUACCGGAUAUGACUCCACGGCGCAUGUUGUGGGGUGGAAAGCCUUGUGUGGCUAGAGAUGGGCCCGCGGCCUAUCAGCUUGUUGGUGGGGUGAUGGCCUACCAAGGCGACGACGGGUAGCCGGCCUGAGAGGGCGACCGGCCACACUGGGACUGAGACACGGCCCAGACUCCUACGGGAGGCAGCAGUGGAGAAUCUUGCGCAAUGGGCGAAAGCCUGACGCAGCGACGCCGCGUGAGGGAUGACGGCCUGGUGUAAC
rnacentral:rRNA from 1 species